GCGGGUGUAGUACAGCGGUUAGUAUGCAAGUUUUCCAAACUUGAGAUCGGAGUUCGAUUCUCCGCACCCGCACCA
rnacentral:tRNA from 5 species